rnacentral:tRNA from 1 species
GGCCUGGUGGCUCAGCUGGUUAGAGCGCCGCCCUGUCACGGCGGAGGUCGUCGGUUCGAGUCCGAUCUGGGUCG